GACAGAGGGUGCAAACGUUGUUCGGAAUUACUGGGCGUAAAGCGCGUGUAGGCGGCUAUGUAAGUCGGGCGUGAAAUCCCACGGCUCAACCGUGGAAGUGCACCCGAAACUGCGUAGCUAGAGUCCUGGAGAGGAAGGUGGAAUGCUUGGUGUAGAGGUGAAAUUCGUAGAUAUCAAGCGGAACACCGGUGGCGAAGGCGGCCUUCUGGACAGUGACUGACGCUGAUACGCGAAAGCGUGGGGAGCAAACAGG
rnacentral:rRNA from 1 species